rnacentral:precursor_RNA from 12 species
CACAGAAGCUGGUCUGAGAUGUUCGAAAGGAGGUUGUCCGUGAUGUAUUUGCUUUGUUUAUGGCAGAUAUUGCACGGUUGAUCUCUUUUCAUCAUCAAAUGCCUUCUUGAAGGACC